rnacentral:misc_RNA from 1 species
AAGAGUUGCAAAACUCCCUUUACACCAUCGCGAACGUUACCUGUAACCGUUGCCUCGGCGGCGCGGGCCCUUCUGGGGCUAGCCCGCCGGCGGUACCCCGAAACUCUGUUUUUUAUAGGCUUCUCUGAGUAACUUAUCAAAUAAGUCA